AAUGAACGCUGGCGGCGUGCCUAACACAUGCAAGUCGAGCGGACGGACGGGCAUCUGCCUUGGCUGGUGUUGGCGGCGGACGGGUGAUUCACACGUGUAUGACCUAUCUAUAGGAAUGGGAUGACUUCAGCAAACCGUAUCUCUUAGCGGAUCAUAUUUUGAACCGGGUGGUUCUUAAGUGAAAGACGGUCUUGCUGUCACUUAUAGAUGGAUCCGCGCUGCAUUAGUUAGUUGGUACGGUAACGGCUUACCAAGGCAACGAUGCAUAGCCGACCUGAGAGGGUGAACCGACACACUGGAACUGAGACACGGCCCAGACUCCUACGGGAGGCAGCAGUCGGGAAUCUUCCGCAAGGGGCGAAAGCCUGAUCGAGCACAGCCGCGUGAGUGAUGAAGGACUUCGGAUGGGAAAGCUAUGUUAGCAGGAAAGAAGAUAAGUGUAAGCAACUGUGAACAUCAUGACGGUACCUGCAGAGAAAGCCACGGCUAACUACGUG
rnacentral:rRNA from 1 species